GUCGAGCGCGAACGUCUCCUUCGGGAGGCUAGUAGAGCGGCGCACGGGUGAGUAACACGUGAGUAACCUACCCCCGGACUUGGAAUAACCUCGGGAAACUGAGGCUAAUGCCAAAUAAGCCCCCAGCCUCUAUGAGGCGGUGGGAAAAGAGGGCUUCGGCUCUCGUCCAGGGAUGGGCUCGCGGCCCAUUAGCUAGUUGGUGGGGUAACGGCCUACCAAGGCUUUGAUGGGUAGCUGGUCUGAGAGGAUGAUCAGCCACACUGGGACUGAGACACGGCCCAGACCCCUACGGGAGGCAGCAGUGGGGAAUCUUGCGCAAUGGGCGAAAGCCUGACGCAGCAACGCCGCGUGGGUGACGAAGGCUCUUGGGUCGUAAAGCCCUGUCAGGGGGGAAGAAUGUCCGUAUGGUUAAUACCCAUACGGAGUGACGGUACCCCCAAAGGAAGCACCGGCUAACUCCGUGCCAGCAGCCGCGGUAAUACGGAGGGUGCAAGCGUUGUUCGGAAUUAUUGGGCGUAAAGCGAGUGUAGGCGGCCUGUCAGGUCGGGUGUGAAAGCCCGGGGCUUAACCCCGGAACUGCGCCCGAAACCGGCAUGGCUUGAGUACGGGAGAGGGUUGUGGAAUUGUCGGUGUAGAGGUGAAAUUCGUAGAUAUCGGCAAGAACACCAGCGGCGAAGGCGAGAACCUGGACCGAUACUGACGCUC
rnacentral:rRNA from 1 species